GCAAGGCUAGCCCAACCCCGUAACCAAGGCAAAGCUAAAGCCAAUAUGGCUUACAUUAAUUGAAUGCAAAGCUAAAGCCAAUUUGGUUUACAUUAAUUGAAUGUAAAGCUAAAGCCAAUUUGGUUGAAGUCAAUUGAAUGUAAAACUAAAGCCAAUUUGGUUUACAUUAAUUGAAUGCAAAGCUAAAGCCAAUUUGGCUUACAUUAAUUGAAUGUAAAGCUAAAGCCAAUUUGGAUGAAGUCAAUCGAAUGUAAAGCUAAAGCCAAUUUGGUUGAAGCCAAUUGAAUGCAAGGCUAAAGCCAAUUUGGUUGAAGUCAAUUGAAUGCAAAGCUAAAGUCAAUUUGGUUGAAGUCAAUUGAAUGCAAAGCCAAAGCCAAUUUGAUUGAAGUCAAUUGCAUGUAAAGCUAAAGCCAAUUUGGUUGAUGCAAAAUGAUUGCAAGGCUAA